GAUGAACGCUGGCGGCGUGCCUAAUACAUGCAAGUCGAGCGAACAGACGAGGAGCUUGCUCCUUUGACGUUAGCGGCGGACGGGUGAGUAACACGUAGGUAACCUACCUAUAAGACUGGGAUAACUUCGGGAAACCGGAGCUAAUACCGGAUAAUAUUUCGAACCGCAUGGUUCGAUAGUGAAAGAUGGCUUUGCUAUCACUUAUAGAUGGACCUGCGCCGUAUUAGCUAGUUGGUAAGGUAACGGCUUACCAAGGCAACGAUACGUAGCCGACCUGAGAGGGUGAUCGGCCACACUGGAACUGAGACACGGUCCAGACUCCUACGGGAGGCAGCAGUAGGGAAUCUUCCGCAAUGGGCGAAAGCCUGACGGAGCAACGCCGCGUGAGUGAUGAAGGUCUUCGGAUCGUAAAACUCUGUUAUUAGGGAAGAACAAACGUGUAAGUAACUGUGCACGUCUGGACGGUACCUAAUCAGAAAGCCACGGCUAACUACGU
rnacentral:rRNA from 1 species